rnacentral:tRNA from 1 species
GCUUAUAUAAUUUAAAUUUAGAAUUUUACAUUGAAGCUGUAAAUGUGGUGAUUAACCUGUAAGCA